GCUGCGUAGGCCGAGGGUCGCCACCCUGGCGGGGUGGCGACCCUUCGUCAGGCUCUGGGGAUCGUGAUCUGGCUGCGGCG
rnacentral:tRNA from 1 species